AAUGAAAUAGUUCAGUUGGGAGAACAGUAGAAUCAUAAUCUAAAAGUCGUGGGUUCAAAUCCCACUUUCAUUA
rnacentral:tRNA from 1 species